UACGUAGGUGGCGAGCGUUGUCCGGAAUUACUGGGUGUAAAGCGCGUGUAGGCGGCAGGCCAAGUCGGUGGUGAAAGGCGCCCGGCUCAACUGGGCGAGGUCCAUGGAAACUGGUCAGCUGGAGGACGGUAGAGGCGAGUGGAAUUCCCGGUGUAGUGGUGAAAUGCGUAGAGAUCGGGAGGAACACCAGUGGCGAAGGCGG
rnacentral:rRNA from 1 species